GGCGCUAUAGCCAAGUGGUUACGGCGACAGAUUAGAAUUACCAACUAUCUGUUCCUCUUUGAGGGCGCAGGUUCGAGUCCUGCUGGCGUCG
rnacentral:tRNA from 1 species